UGGUCUGAGAGGAUGAUCAGUCACACUGGAACUGAGACACGGUCCAGACUCCUACGGGAGGCAGCAGUAGGGAAUAUUGCGCAAUGGGGGAAACCCUGACGCAGCAACGCCGCGUGGAGGAUGACACUUUUCGGAGCGUAAACUCCUUUUCUUAGGGAAGAAUUCUGACGGUACCUAAGGAAUAAGCACCGGCUAACUCCGUGCCAGCAGCCGCGGUAAUACGGAGGGUGCAAGCGUUACUCGGAAUCACUGGGCGUAAAGGGCGCGUAGGCGGAUUAUCAAGUCUCUUGUGAAAUCUAAUGGCUUAACCAUUAAACUGCUUGGGAAACUGAUAGUCUAGAGUGAGGGAGAGGCAGAUGGAAUUGGUGGUGUAGGGGUAAAAUCCGUAGAUAUCACCAAGAAUACCCAUUGCGAAGGCGAUCUGCUGGAACUCAACUGACGCUAAGGCGCGAAAGCGUGGGGAGCAAACAGGAUUAGAUACCCUGGUAGUCCACGCCCUAAACGAUGUACACUAGUUGUUGGGGUGCUAGUCAUCUCAGUAAUGCAGCUAACGCAUUAAGUGUACCGCCUGGGGAGUACGGUCGCAAGAUUAAAACUCAAAGGAAUAGACGGGGACCCGCACAAGCGGUGGAGCAUGUGGUUUAAUUCGAGGAUACGCGAAGAACCUUACCUGGGCUUGAUAUCCUAAGAACCUUUUAGAGAUAAGAGGGUGCUAGCUUGCUAGAACUUAGAGACAGGUGCUGCACGGCUGUCGUCAGCUCGUGUCGUGAGAUGUUGGGUUAAGUCCCGCAACGAGCGCAACCCACGUAUUUAGUUGCUAACGGUUCGGCCGAGCACUCUAAAUAGACUGCCUUCGUAAGGAGGAGGAAGGUGUGGACGACGUCAAGUCAUCAUGGCCCUUAUGCCCAGGGCGACACACGUGCUACAAUGGCAUAUACAAUGAGACGCAAUACCGCGAGGUGGAGCAAAUCUAUAAAAUAUGUCCCAGUUCGGAUUGUUCUCUGCAACUCGAGAGCAUGAAGCCGGAAUCGCUAGUAAUCGUAGAUCAGCCAUGCUACGGUGAAUACGUUCCCGGGUCUUGUACUCACCGCCCGUCACACCAUGGGAGUUGAUUUCACUCGAAGCCGGAAUACUAAACUAGUUACCGUCCACAGUGGAAUCAGCGACUGGGGUGAAGUCGUAACAAGGUAACCGUAGGAGAACCUGCGGUUGGAUCACCUCCUUUCUA
rnacentral:rRNA from 1 species